rfam:Pseudomonas sp. EGD-AK9 Contig_152, whole genome shotgun sequence.
CCGUGAUGCCGGGCCCCUCUGGCGGUUAACACCGCGAUGUCGGAAUCACAGU